GGGCCUCUGAAGAGCACCGGCAGCUUCCUUCUUAGCAGAGGAGAAAAUCUCUGCCAUCUCGUGCUCGCCUACCUCGACUCGCCAGACGCCCUGGAGCAGAGGAGGAGCAGUGGUCGGCAGCGGCCAGCCGUGCAGGUGCCACACCUGAUGGUCCACCUGGGAGAACCAGGCAGGAAGCCGGAAAGAGUCGCAGUGCACGCUCUGCGGGGAGCCGGAAGAUACAGACAGCCCAACUAAAUCCUUGAAAUGCAGCGUGGCGUGAAAAUGGAGCGGCAUUUUAGUUAACGAGGGUCUGGAUGCCAUUCACAGGAAUGCAGUUUCUACAGGGUUCUGCUUUGCAGAGACCUCUCCUGAUAAUAAUAAUAAAUUUACUCAGAACAA
rnacentral:lncRNA from 1 species